rnacentral:rRNA from 1 species
UAGGGAAUCUUCGGCAAUGGACGAAAGUCUGACCGAGCAACGCCGCGUGAGUGAAGAAGGUUUUCGGAUCGUAAAACUCUGUUGUUAGAGAAGAACAAGGACGUUAGUAACUGAACGUCCCCUGACGGUAUCUAACCAGAAAGCCACGGCUAACUACGUGCCAGCAGCCGCGGUAAUACGUAGGUGGCAAGCGUUGUCCUGAUUUAUUGGGCGUAAAGCGAGCGCAGGCGGUUUCUUAAGUCUGAUGUGAAAGCCCCCGGCUCAACCGGGGAGGGUCAUUGGAAACUGGGGGACUUGAGUGCGGAAGAGGAGAGUGGAAUUCCAUGUGUAGCGGUGAAAUGCGUAGAUAUAUGGAGGAACACCAGUGGCGAAGGCGGCUCUCUGGUCUGUAACUGACGCUGAGGCUCGAAAGCGUGGGGAGCAAACAGG